AGCUCCAAUAGCGUAUAUUAAAGUUGUUGCAGUUAAAAAGCUCGUAGUUGGAUUUGUGGUUGGGUCUGUCGGUCCGGCACAUUGUGCGGGUACUUGAUGGACUCGUCCAUCCUUGGGUGGAAUCUGUGUGGCAUUAAGUUGUCGUGCAGGGGAUGCCCAUCGUUUACUGUGAAAAAAUUAGAGUGUUCAAAGCAGGCUUAUGCCGUUGAAUAUAUUAGCAUGGAAUAAUGAGAUAGGACCUUGGUACUAUUUUGUUGGUUUGCGCACCGAGGUAAUGAUUAAUAGGGACAGUUGGGGGUAUUCGUAUUCCAUUGUCAGAGGUGAAAUUCUUGGAUUUUUGGAAGACGAACUACUGCGAAAGCAUUUACCAAGGAUGUUUUCA
rnacentral:rRNA from 1 species